rnacentral:rRNA from 1 species
CUUUUGCUGGCGACCGGCGCACGGGUGAGUAACGCGUAUGCAACCUGCCCGAUACCGGGGUAUAGCCCAUGGAAACGUGGAUUAACACCCCAUAGUACUUUUAUCCUGCCUGGGAUGGGAGUUAAAUGUUCAAGGUAUCGGAUGGGCAUGCGUCCUAUUAGUUAGUUGGCGGGGUAACAGCCCACCAAGACGAUGAUAGGUAGGGGUUCUGAGAGGAAGGUCCCCCACAUUGGAACUGAGACACGGUCCAA